rnacentral:rRNA from 1 species
CGAGCGGACAGAUGGGAGCUUGCUCCCUGAUGUUAGCGGCGGACGGGUGAGUAACACGUGGGUAACCUGCCUGUAAGACUGGGAUAACUCCGGGAAACCGGGGCUAAUACCGGAUGCUUGUUUGAACCGCAUGGUUCAAACAUAAAAGGUGGCUUCGGCUACCACUUACAGAUGGACCCGCGGCGCAUUAGCUAGUUGGUGAGGUAAUGGCUCACCAAGGCAACGAUGCGUAGCCGACCUGAGAGGGUGAUCGGCCACACUGGGACUGAGACACGGCCCAGACUCCUACGGGAGGCAGCAGUAGGGAAUCUUCCGCAAUGGACGAAAGUCUGACGGAGCAACGCCGCGUGAGUGAUGAAGGUUUUCGGAUCGUAAAGCUCUGUUGUUAGGGAAGAACAAGUACCGUUCGAAUAGGGCGGUACCUUGACGGUACCUAACCAGAAAGCCACGGCUAACUACGUGCCAGCAGCCGCGGUAAUACGUAGGUGGCAAGCGUUGUCCGGAAUUAUUGGGCGUAAAGGGCUCGCAGGCGGUUUCUUAAGUCUGAUGUGAAAGCCCCCGGCUCAACCGGGGAGGGUCAUUGGAAACUGGGGAACUUGAGUGCAGAAGAGGAGAGUGGAAUUCCACGUGUAGCGGUGAAAUGCGUAGAGAUGUGGAGGAACACCAGUGGCGAAGGCGACUCUCUGGUCUGUAACUGACGCUGAGGAGCGAAAGCGUGGGGAGCGAACAGGAUUAGAUAC